AGUGAACGCUGGCGGUAGGCCUAACACAUGCAAGUCGAACGAAAGCACAGUAAGAGCUUGCUCUUACGGGUAGCGAGUGGCGGACGGGUGAGAAAUACAUAAGCAUCUACUUUUACGUGGGGGAUAACGUAGGACAACUUCCGCUAAUACCGCAUACGAUCAACGGGAGAAAGCAGGGGAUCUUCGGACCUUGCGCGUCUCAUUGAGCCGAUGUCGGAUUAGCUAGUUGGCGGGGUAAAGGCACACCAAGGCAACGAUCCGUAGCUGGUCUGAGAGGAUGAUCAGCCACACUGGAACUGAGACACGGUCCAGACUCCUACGGGAGGCAGCAGUGGGGAAUAUUGGACAAUGGGCGCAAGCCUGAUCCAGCCAUACCGCGUGGGUGAAGAAGGCCUUCGGGUUGUAAAGCCCUUUUGUUGGGGAAGAAAAGCAGUGUAAGAAUAUCCCGAUGUUCUGACGGUACCCAAAGAGUAAGCACCGGCUAACUUCGUG
rnacentral:rRNA from 1 species